AGUGAACGCUGGCGGUAGGCCUAACACAUGCAAGUCGAACGGCAGCACAGUAAGAGCUUGCUCUUACGGGUGGCGAGUGGCGGACGGGUGAGGAAUACAUCGGAAUUUACUUUUUCGUGGGGGAUAACGUAGGGAAACUUACGCUAAUACCGCAUACGACCUACGGGUGAAAGCAGGGGAUCUUCGGACCUUGCGCGAUUGAAUGAGCCGAUGUCGGAUUAGCUAGUUGGCGGGGUAAAGGCCCACCAGGGCGACGAUCCGUAGCUGGUCUGAGAGGAUGAUCAGCCACACUGGAACUGAGACACGGUCCAGACUCCUACGGGAGGCAGCAGUGGGGAAUAUUGGACAAUGGGCGCAAGCCUGAUCCAGCCAUACCGCGUGGGUGAAGAAGGCCUUCGGGUUGUAAAGCCCUUUUGUUGGGAAAGAAAAGCAGCAGGUUAAUACCCCGCUGUUCUGACGGUACCCAAAGAAUAAGCACCGGCUAACUUCGUG
rnacentral:rRNA from 1 species